rnacentral:rRNA from 1 species
UGGGGAAUUUUGGACAAUGGGCGAAAGCCUGAUCCAGCAAUGCCGCGUGUGUGAAGAAGGCCUUCGGGUUGUAAAGCACUUUUGUCCGGAAAGAAAUCCUUGGCUCUAAUACAGUCGGGGGAUGACGGUACCGGAAGAAUAAGCACCGGCUAACCACGUGCCAGCAGCCGCGGUAAUACGUAGGGUGCAAGCGUUAAUCGGAAUUACUGGGCGUAAAGCGUGCGCAGGCGGUUUGCUAAGACCGAUGUGAAAUCCCCGGGCUCAACCUGGGAACUGCAUUGGUGACUGGCAGGCUAGAGUAUGGCAGAGGGGGGUAGAAUUCCACGUGUAGCAGUGAAAUGCGUAGAGAUGUGGAGGAAUACCGAUGGCGAAGGCAGCCCCCUGGGCCAAAUACUGACGCUCAUGCACGAAAAGCGUGGGGAGCAAAACAGGAUUAGAUACCCUGGUAGUCCACGCCCUAAAACGAUGUCAACUAGUUGUUGGGGAUUCAUUUCCUUAGUAACGUAGCUAAACGCGUGAAGUUGACCGCCUGGGGAGUACGGUCGCAAGAUUAAAAACUUAAAUGAAUUGACGGGGUCAUAGCUGUUUCCU